GCCAGGCCCGGUGGUGUACGCCUGUAAUCCUAGCUGCUUGGGAGGCUGAGGCAAGAGGAUCAUGAGUUCAAAGCCAGCUUUGGCAAAAGCGAGGUGCUAAGCAACUUGGUGAGACUCUGUCUCUA
rnacentral:sRNA from 1 species